GCAGUCGAGGGGAACGGCAUCAAGCGCUUGCGCCUGAUGGACGUCGACCGGCGCACGGGUGAGUAACGCGUAUCCAACCUGCCCCACACUAAGGGACAACCCGCAGAAAUGUGGGCUAAUACCUUAUAUUUUCCACCAAGGGCAUCGUCGAUGGAACAAAGAUUUAUCGGUAUGGGAUGGGGAUGCGUCCGAUUAGGUUGUUGGCGGGGUAACGGCCCACCAAGCCAUCGAUCGGUAGGGGUUCUGAGAGGAAGGUCCCCCACAUAGGAACUGAGACACGGUCCUAACUCCUACGGGAGGCAGCAGUGAGGAAUAUUGGUCAAUGGGCGGGAGCCUGAACCAGCCAAGUAGCGUGCAGGAAGACGGCCCUAUGGGUUGUAAACUGCUUUUAUGCGGGGAUAAAGGAGUCCACGUGUGGGCUUUUGCAGGUACCGCAUGAAUAAGGACCGGCUAAUUCCGUGCCAGCAGCCGCGGUAAUACGGAAGGUCCGGGCGUUAUCCGGAUUUAUUGGGUUUAAAGGGAGCGUAGGCCGCGUUUUAAGCGUGUUGUGAAAUGUAGGCGCCCAACGUCUGCAUCGCAGCGCGAACUGGAACGCUUGAGUACGCGCAACGUUGGCGGAAUUCGUCGUGUAGCGGUGAAAUGCUUAGAUAUGACGAAGAACUCCGAUUGCGAAGGCAGCUGACGGGAGCGGCACUGACGCUUAAGCUCGAAGGUGCGGGUAUCAAACAGGAUUAGAUACCCUGGUAGUCCGCACGGUAAACGAUGGAUGCUCGCUGUGUGCCUUUUGUGGUACGCGGCUA
rnacentral:rRNA from 1 species